AGUAAAUGUCCGCUUUCUGAUUUAUUUCCAUUUCCCUCCGAGGGAAGUUGGGGCGUUUGUGAAGCGUCUCCUGCGGCCGGAGUCUGAUGUGUCGCUGAGAGAGCCACGCAACCCCACUACCAGCUUGCUCUUUUAAGAAACAUAUUCCCGUUCUGAUCGUCCAUAGUGGGCAUGGUUCUGUAUUGACAUUCUCCAUGUUUCUGUGGCAGAGAAGCUGGCCAAACUUGAUGGAAGGGAAACUGGUAGGAAUGACAACGGAGCAGCAAUGGCUGGAGUUUCUGGGAGCAAUUCAGGAGCUGAGUGAUUGAUACAUCCCAAAGAAGUGGAAGCAUUGUAAAGGCAGGAGGACACAACUGAGGCUAAAAUGAGAAGCCUAAGCCAACAUAAGAACCAAAGAGAGGCCAAACAAAAGAGCAAAAACUGUUAGGAAGCUUUUAGAAAGCAACAGAAGAUGACGAAAAAAAAUGUCAGAUGAUCUCAGGGCAUGGAAUUAUGAUUAUUGUAGUCAUUAAUGAGUCUUUGUAGCACCCAACAGUCUGAGGCAUUUAGAGGAACAAAAUAUCUGGGGCCUCGAUAUCUCUUGAAAACCAAGGUUCCCUGCACCAGUUACCUUUCAACUUUUACUUUGACAGGCACAUACAAACCCUACACCCUCAAAACUUCACUUCUGAAGGCUUCCCACUUACCAAGUACUCCUUUGCCAGAAAACAGCCUGUCCCAAACCACACUUGUCAGAUCCUUUCUGAUACCAUCAAAAUCGACCUUUCUCCAAUUGAAAAUUGAACCCAUGGUUCAGUCCUCACUUUUUCUAUAUUAACUUGGAAUCUCAUGACAUUAUGAUCACUACAUACAAAGUGUUCCAAUACACUAAUUUCUGUUACCAGCCCUGGAUUAUUUUCUGAUAGCUUAUUGCACACUUCUAUGUCGGGAAUUCUACGUGCUGACUUUGGGCACAUUUGACAAACUCUACCCAUCCAGUCCUUUUAUAUAUGGGAGCCCCAGUAAUCUUUGGGAAUUCAAAAUCACUCACUAUAUGAAGCAUUCUUUCUUGGCAUAGUCUGUGAUCUCUCCACAAAUUUAUUUCUCUGAAUUCCUCAGAUUGUUGGGUGCAAACAAGUCCCUGUAAUGGCUACAAUAUCACAUUCCAUGCCCUGAGGUCUCUGGUGUCAAGAAAACAAACUCUCCCUCAUUGUCACAGAAACAAUGGAGCUGAUUGUGGACUACAGGAAGAAUGGAGACAGGCUAAGACCUAUUUGCACCAGUGGAUCUGGGGUUGAGAGGGUGAACAGCUUUAAGUUCCUCGUCAGACACAUCACAGAGGAUCUCAUGUGGUCUGUACAACACCGCCUCUUUCACCUCAGACGGUUGUAAGAAGUUUGAAAUGCAGCCCCAAAUCCGAAGAACUUUCUGCAGGAACACAACUGAGAGCAUCCUGACUGGCUGCAUCACUGCCUGGCAUGGGAACUGUACUUCCCUCAAUCACAGACUUUGCAGAGUGGUGCGUACAGCCCAGCACAUCUGCAGUUGUGAACUUCCCAUGAUUCAGGACAUU